GUGUCAUUUUAAUAAAUCUUAUUAUUCACAGUCAAAUUUUAGCUACUAAAUUACCCUUUCAAAAAUAUAAGAAAAUCCAAUAAAUUAUAUCUGGCUCACUCACUUGGUGAAAUGUAUAGGACAAUCCAAUAAUUAUUAAACUAAAUAGGGUUAUAAAAUUUAAAGGGUCAAUCUGAUAAAUCUUAUCAUUCAGUGUGUGAUAGAAGUUAACGAUAAAUCCAUUACGAAAUAUAGACAAAUCCAAUGAAUAUCAAAAGCUGUUAUACCUAGGAAAACAUAUAUAAAAUUCUAAUACAUUUCAUCAUUCUGAAGUUAGUACACAUGCUGGCGUGCCUGAGUCGUGAUCCGUAUCCGUAAUUUGUUUGGGAAACAUAAUCCCAGAAGAACGAUUGUUUGUGUUUUAGCCAGUAGUAAUUUUUCGCCGGAGGAUUUUACCAGUUGAGUGGCAGCAAAAAUAACUUAAAUUUCAUCGCUGUGAUAUAAGCCAAUCAUUUAUAAGCGUAAAACACGGGUCUUAAAAUGAGGGACAGCAGCGAAGGAAAACAGAUCCGGACUUCAGCGAGAACGUGCACGGUUCCAUUCUUCGCCAUGCAUAGGAAACUCCAAUCCACCAGAACAACAGCACCCAAUCCGCUGAAUCUGGAUUCAUGUACCAGCCAGGAUCAACAUGCAUCAGGCAUGAAACUGUGUCCCACCAUCCAUGAAAAGUGUUUGAAGUGCAGUGCAGUGUUACUUUUCAAAUAUCUUGAUUUUUUAAUAAAUGUUUAAAUAAAAUAAUUUUGGUUAAAUUUGUUUAUUUGAAUAAAUAAGAUGAGAAAUAGAAAUUAAAUUUCAGGUAUAUUUGAU